CGGCAAACACUGGUGUCAGACAAUAUUGAAUGGCCCAACGGAAUCACCCUGGAUCUGCUGAGCCAGCGCUUGUACUGGGUAGACUCCAAGCUACACCAACUGUCCAGCAUUGACUUCAGUGGAGGCAACAGAAAGACGCUGAUCUCCUCCACUGACUUCCUGAGCCACCCUUUUGGGAUAGCUGUGUUUGAGGACAAGGUGUUCUGGACAGACCUGGAGAACGAGGCCAUUUUCAGUGCAAAUCGGCUCAAUGGCCUGGAAAUCUCCAUCCUGGCUGAGAACCUCAACAACCCACAUGACAUUGUCAUCUUCCAUGAGCUGAAGCAGCCAAGAGCUCCAGAUGCCUGUGAGCUGAGUGUCCAGCCUAAUGGAGGCUGUGAAUACCUGUGCCUUCCUGCUCCUCAGAUCUCCAGCCACUCUCCCAAGUACACAUGUGCCUGUCCUGACACAAUGUGGCUGGGUCCAGACAUGAAGAGGUGCUACCGAGUUUCAGGGAGUUUCUGGAACGCUUUAAAAACCUCAAGUUAAGAACCCUUAAUCGCCGUGGCUUCAGCACCUCAAUCUACCUCAACUACGACGUUAGCUUCUACCAUGACGAGGACAGUACCUGCCACCACAAGAGCCCCCGGGACCACCGUCCACAGAUCCACCUACCAGAACCACAGCACAGAGACACCAAGCCUGACAGCUGCAGUCCCAAGCUCAGUUAGUGUCCCCAGGGCUCCCAGCAUCAGCCCGUCUACCCUAAGCCCUGCAACCAGCAACCACUCCCAGC
rnacentral:lncRNA from 1 species